rnacentral:lncRNA from 1 species
GCCAAUGGCUCCAUCUUUAUGCACACUCAAGUUACAUGCCUUACUAGGUUGUUCUCUAUGCAGCAAAAGAUUCUGUUAGUGUUGUUACUGUUAACUUGCCUUCCAGAAUUUGAAACCAAAAAUGUCCAUUUAUUCUAAUUUUGAGAAGCCUCUUGCAAUCCCUCAGUCCUGUGCUUGAAAUGUUUUCUAUAGCAUUGGCAAGCUUCUGUAGCAAAAGCUACUGUGCUGCCUUCAGAUUCCUCAUAUGUACACACAGUUAAUGGGUGUUGUCGUGAUUAAUUGCUAAUUAUUUGGUAAAGUUAAUUGGCUGGUGCUUUGAACACCUGGUAUUGAUUUUUUUAAAACUAAGAAAUAUUUCUAAAUAAGAUUGCAUUAACUUUAAAAAUGUCUUCAAUUUACUUUGGGUUUUUCUAGAACUCUAUGAAUCUACCACACAAACUAAUUACUAUAUGGAAUAAUUUACUGUACUCACAUACAGUAAAUACUAAAUGAGUGCAUUACUGUAAAAACAUAAUCAUGAUUGUUAUUUUUUAUUUAAGUACCUCUUAUGCUAUUUAAAAGCAUAAUUCCUGUAAAAAUUACAUGUUCCGAAUAGUUAAAUCACUGCUUAUCCUAUCUAUAGAUUUCUUUCUUAAUAAUUACAUAUUUCUGUAAAGCCUACUGUAAAAUGCUUUCAUUGCUUGCAGUUUUAAGUUUGAUCUGCUUACACUUAGGUAGACAUGCCUGCAAUAACUUUUCUCUCAGUUAUUUCUAACCUCAUAAUUAUUCUACUUUUCAGUAUCUUGUGUUACUCAUGGGCAAAAAAACUUCUUAGUGAAUAGAAUUCUGUCUGUUGUUUCUGAUUGUUGGUAUGAACAUUAAACUAUUGGGCUGAUCUUGCUGGUUUGAAGCAGCUUUCUGAAGUAGCUCAACAGUUGCCACCCCCUUGAGCAGUGUAAAAAAGUUCCCGGUUCAUUUUCUCUUGCUUGCUUGCUUUCUUUCCUUCUUUCUUUCUGCCAAUAUUUAAUAUUGAACAGGCUCUUUAAUUUUUGCCAAACUAACGUUAUCUCAUUUAACUUUGCAUUUUCUCAAUUACUGUUGGGGUUGAAUAUGUUUUCAUAUGCUAUGGUCCAUUUGAGUGUCCUCCGGCUGUUGAUGUUGUUUGCUCAUUUUUCUAAUGAGUAAUUUGGCUUGUUAUUUUUGGUUCUAUCAUUAGUUUUUUAAAGCUAAAAUAACUCUGGGAUAUAUUUCUUAAAAUAGUACAGAUCCUAGUACAUUGUAGAACAAAGUACACCAUAUUGAUCUAUUUUAAGAAUAUGAACAUUAGUACAGUGACACGUAUGUGGAAGAAAUAACUUUCUUUCUACCUAUAAUAUAAUAAUAAAUCUCAAAUUAUCCAAACCUGCCACUUAGGGUAGGUGAAGGCCCAACUAAUAUUACUCUCAGUUUCUAUUUCCAUAUUUUCUUUAGUGACUCUGCAUUUAUUUUUUUCUGCAAAUAUUUAUGAUGUCUUUUCUAAAUUCAUUCACUAAAUACUUAGCUUUUCCUGUUUUCUAGAGCUACAAAGAGACAAGCUUAGAAAUUUGCCUUCUAUCAGCAAGAGACCAUUGUGCGUAACUAAACCAGGUGAUGAAGUGUCUUCCUAGCAGCAUAAAAUGUAUGCCUGUAUUUUAUUAUUUUUAGUUUUGUGAAGAAUGCUGUUGAUGAGGUUGCACUGGUUCUCCUAGCUCUGUCCCAGGAUGCCUUACCUUGGUAUCUUUGAUUAUCAUAUCCUUUGGUAAAAAUCCCUUUCUAUAAUUAUAGUGUAGGAAAGAGAAUAGCAGCAGUUGAACACCUAUUAUGUAAUUUGCAGUUUGAUAGUAAAUGUCUCGUGCAUGUUAUCCUCUUA